rfam:Streptomyces albireticuli strain MDJK11, complete genome.
CUUCACGGAGCCCAGCAGCAGCGGCCGCUCGGGGUCGCGCCCCUGACCGUAGGUGGCCAGCAGCGCCUGGGCCUC